AGAGUUUGAUCCUGGCUCAGGACGAACGCUGGCGGCGUGCCUAACACAUGCAAGUCGAACGAGAAUCUUUGGAAUGAUUCUUUCGGGAUGAAUUCCAAAGAGGAAAGUGGCGGACGGGCGAGUAACGCGUGAGUAACCUGCCCAUAAGAGGGGGAUAAUCCAUGGAAACGUGGACUAAUACCGCAUAUUGUAGUUAAGUUGCAUGACUUGAUUAUGAAAGAUUUAUCGCUUAUGGAUGGACUCGCGUCAGAUUAGAUAGUUGGUGAGGUAACGGCUCACCAAGUCAACGAUCUGUAGCCGAACUGAGAGGUUGAUCGGCCGCAUUGGGACUGAGACACGGCCCAGACUCCUACGGGAGGCAGCAGUGGGGAAUAUUGCGCAAUGGGGGCAACCCUGACGCAGCAACGCCGCGUGCAGGAAGAAGGUCUUCGGAUUGUAAACUGUUGUCGCAAGGGAAGAAGACAGUGACGGUACCUUGUGAGAAAGUCACGGCUAACUACGUGCCAGCAGCCGCGGUAAUACGUAGGUGACAAGCGUUGUCCGGAUUUACUGGGUGUAAAGGGCGCGUAGGCGGAUUGUCAAGUCAGUCGUGAAAUACCGGGGCUUAACCCCGGGGCUGCGAUUGAAACUGACAGCCUUGAGUAUCGGAGAGGAAAGCGGAAUUCCUAGUGUAGCGGUGAAAUGCGUAGAUAUUAGGAGGAACACCAGUGGCGAAGGCGGCUUUCUGGACGACAACUGACGCUGAGGCGCGAAAGUGUGGGGAGCAAACAAGAUUAGAUACCCUGGUAGUCCACACCGUAAACGAUGG
rnacentral:rRNA from 1 species